rnacentral:rRNA from 1 species
CACGUAUUUAGCCGUUCCUUUCUGGUAAGAUACCGUCACACAUUGAACAGUUACUCUCAAUGUCAUUCUUCUCUUACAACAGUGUUUUACGAGCCGAAACCCUUCAUCACACACGCGGCGUUGCUCCAUCAGGCUUUCGCCCAUUGUGGAAGAUUCCCUACUGCUGCCUCCCGUAGGAGUGUGGGCCGUGUCUCAGUCCCAUUGUGGCCGAUCAGUCUCUCAACUCGGCUAUGCAUCAUCGUCUUGGUGAGCCAUUACCUCACCAACUAACUAAUGCACCGCGGACCAUCUCUUAGUGAUAGCAGAACCAUUCUUUAAGUAGCAACCAUGCGGUUGCUAUUGUUAUACGGUAUUAGCAUCUGUUUCCAAUUGUUAUCCCUGCUAGAGUAGGUUUCCACGUGUUACUCUACCCGUUCGCCGACUCUUUGCUAAUGUCCAUCGUCAUAUCUGAGCAAGCUCUUACAAAUCAGUUCGAAACCAACAAACG